CUCCUCCCCUCUCGGCGACAGACCUGGCUCUUUUCACGCCUUGUCCUCCCUCUUUCUUUCCUUCUUGCUCCCUUUCUUUCUAUUUUUUUUUUUAUCUUCCUUCCUUUUCCUACUCCUUGUUUCUUUCUCUCCCUGGCUUUUGUGCUGGGGGCCGUGACGAAUGGCUCAGAAAAGAGGGUGCUGUGAGAAACUGGAGCUGCCGCUGGCGGAGUGGGUGCUUCCCCGUGGUUCCUCCAAGGCUCCUUUGUGGCCGUAAUCAAAGCCUGCUGGCAGGUGCCUUCACUAUGAGAAACCUCAGCUGAGAGAGAAGCCAGAAAAGACGGGAAGAGAACGAUUCAAUCAAUGAACUUUCACUGGACAUGACGACGUCGGAUGCAGGGGCUGGCUGAGAAGCAGAGAUGUUCUACCACAUCCCUUUCACCCCAGCGCAGAGAUCUGGGGACUUCUGGAGAGGACAUUUGAGGAGGAUCAGCUUUGAAGUCUGGAGAUGGGGAGAGCCUGUGACAGCUGGUGCCUCUGCUGCGGGUUUAAACAUCACCUUGAUUUUCACCUGGAAGCUAAUAAGAAAAUUAUGUAUGGAGAUGACACCAGCUUUCACUGUUCUCUGAACCGACAAAGCAGCCAUCGGGUGUGAUGCUGUCCCAUCGCCUUGUCCUGGCAGGGCUUCUUGACUUGGGCCAGCGCUGGGAAUGGGAGCAUUGUCUCAGGCUAUGUCUCAGGCUGCUUUGGCUGAGGAGAUGCAUGUGUGGAGGACAUUGUGUGCCACCAUGUGGGCUCUGGACACUCUCAGUGCCCUCAGAAAUGUGUGUUUGGUAUGGGAGAAGGAACAGUCACGUCUUUUGUUAGAGAAGGCCUAUGAGGAGUGGGACCAACCAAGAUCCCCCUCACAGGACAGUGUUCUCUCCACCCUGGACCAGGCAGCCUGGACUACCUGAGGCAUCCCACCCUCUGAAACUCCAUGGGUACUUGGCGAUGGUGUCCCCAACCUCCACGUCACCAGUUUUUCCUGGAGGCACAGCUGGAGGUCCAUCAGGUAGCAUGCCCUGCAGCAGCGGUGCCAGGAGCCUGCGUUCGCACUGCUGGUCCUUGCCCAUGUGUGUCAGGGAGCUCAUGGUGCCACCAAGCUCCCGGUCUCCAUCCCCACUCUACCCCAACCUGCCCUGUGCCCCCGCCUUGGCGCGCCGGCUCGCUCCAAGCCAGCCUUGACUCCUUGUCUCACAAGUAGAGAUGAAAAUAAACUCUAGUGAAGGGUCCUUUAACUUUCUCUACUCGAGUGAAAAUAAAUGCGAUUUCCCCACCACCCAGCCCUGUAAAUUCCCCGCACU